UUCUUAGCUCGGUUGGUAGAGCAUGAGACCCUUAACCUAAGAGUCAUGGGUUCAAGCCCCACAUUGGGCAAAA